UACGAAGGGGGCUAGCGUUGCUCGGAAUGACUGGGCGUAAAGGGCGCGUAGGCGGCUCAUACAGUCAGAUGUGAAAUUCCUGGGCUUAACCUGGGGGCUGCAUUUGAUAUGUGUGGGCUUGAGUGGGGAAGAGGGUCGUGGAAUUCCCAGUGUAGAGGUGAAAUUCGUAGAUAUUGGGAAGAACACCGGUGGCGAAGGCGGCGACCUGGUCCUUGACUGACGCUGAGGCGCGAAAGCGUGGGGAGCAAACAGG
rnacentral:rRNA from 1 species